AUUGAACGCUGGCGGCAGGCCUAACACAUGCAAGUCGAGCGGAUGAAGAGAGCUUGCUUUCUGAUUUAGCGGCGGACGGGUGAGUAAUGCCUAGGAAUCUGCCUGGUAGUGGGGGAUAACGUCCGGAAACGGGCGCUAAUACCGCAUACGUCCUACGGGAGAAAGCAGGGGACCUUCGGGCCUUGCGCUAUCAGAUGAGCCUAGGUCGGAUUAGCUAGUUGGUGAGGUAAUGGCGCACCAAGGCGACGAUCCGUAACUGGUCUGAGAGGAUGAUCAGUCACACUGGAACUGAGACACGGUCCAGACUCCUACGGGAGGCAGCAGUGGGGAAUAUUGGACAAUGGGCGAAAGCCUGAUCCAGCCAUGCCGCGUGUGUGAAGAAGGUCUUGGGAUUGUAAAGCACUUUAAGUUGGGAGGAAGGGCAGUAAGUUAAUACCUUGCUGUUUUGACGUUACCGACAGAAUAAGCACCGGCUAACUUCGUGCCAGCCGCCGCGGUAAGAC
rnacentral:rRNA from 1 species